AUGAGGGACUUCCCGUCCUGCUUCGGGGAGAGCGGCGUCCAGAUCGCGGACGCCGCGUCCUCCUCCAGCAGCGCCGGCAAGGGCGCGGCGCAGAACCUGGUCACCUGCCUCUACCAGACGCAGCUCGCCGGCCGGCCCUGCGUCGUCUCCGUCACCUGGAGCAAGAGCCUCAUGGGGCAGGGCCUCAGCGUCGCCGUCGACGGCCUCUCCGGCCAGAGCCUCUGCAAGGCGGACAUCAAGCCCUGGCUCUUCUCCAAGAAGAAGGGCUCCAAGAGCCUCGACGUCGACGGCGGCAAGGUCGACAUCUUCUGGGACCUCUCCGCCGCCAGGUUCGGCGCCGGGCCGGAGCCGCUGGAGAGCUUCUACGUCGCGCUGGUCUCCGACCUCGAGCUCGCGCUCCUGCUCGGCGACAUGAAGAAGGACGCCUACCGCAAGACCGGCGCCAACCGGCCGGCGCUCAACGCCGCCUUCGUCGCCAGGAAGGAGCACAUCUACGGCAAGAAGAUUUACUCCGCCAAGGCGCAGUUCUGCGACAAUGGCCAGUUCCACGACCUGGUGAUAGAGUGCGACACCGUCGGCCUCAAGGACCCGUGCCUUGAGAUACGCAUCGACAAGAAGCCGGUGAUGCAGGUGAAGAGGCUGGCAUGGAAGUUCAGGGGAAACCAGACGAUCCUCGUCGACGGCCUGCCGGUGGAGGUGUUCUGGGACGUCCACAGCUGGCUCUUCGGGCCGACGACGGCGAGCAACGCGGUGUUCAUGUUCCAGACAUGCCAGGCGCCCGAGAAGUCGAUGCCGUGGUCGUACUCGCAGAUUUUUAGGGAGUCCCAGCUGCAGGGCCUCGGCUUCUCGCUCAUCCUACAUGCAUGGAAGAUUGAGUAG
rnacentral:rRNA from 1 species